rnacentral:rRNA from 1 species
GAUGAACGCUGGCGGCGUGCCUAAUACAUGCAAGUCGAGCGAACAGACGAGUAGCUUGCUCCUCUGACGUUAGCGGCGGACGGGUGAGUAACACGUGGAUAACCUACCUAUAAGACUGGGAUAACUUCGGGAAACCGGAGCUAAUACCGGAUAAUAUAUUGAACCGCAUGGUUCAAUAGUGAAAGACGGUUUUGCUGUCCCUUAUAGAUGGAUCCGCGCCGCAUUAGCUAGUUGGUAAGGUAACGGCUUACCAAGGCAACGAUGCGUAGCCGACCUGAGAGGGUGAUCGGCCAAACUGGAACUGAGACAAGGUCCAGACGCCUAAGGGAGGCAGCAGUAGGGAAUCUUCCGCAAUGGGCGAAAGCUUGACGGAGAAACGCCGCGUGAGAGAUGAAGGUCUUAGGAUCGUAAAACUCUGUUAUUAGGGAAGAACAAAUGUGUAAGUAACUAUGCACGUCUUGAAGGUACCUAAUCAGAAAGCCACGGAUAACUACGUG